GACGAACGCUGACGGUGUGCUUUAGGCAUGCAAGUCGAACGAGAAAGCCCUUCGGAGUGAGUAAAGUGGCGAACGGGUGAGUAACACGUGGACAACCUGCCCCUCGCAGGGGGACAACCGGAGGAAACUCCGGCUAAUACCCCGUACGUUCCACGCAUCGCAUGUUGCGUGGAAGAAAGGUAGCUUCGGCCAUCCGGCGAGGGAUAGACCCGCGGUGCAUUAGCUAGUUGGUGGGGUAACGGCUCACCAAGGCGACGAUGCAUAGCUGGUCUGAGAGGAUGAUCGGCCACACUGGGACUGAGACACGGCCCAGACUCCUACGGGAGGCAGCAGCCAGGAAUCUUGGGCAAUGGGCGCAAGCCUGACCCAGCAACACCGUGUGGGCGAUGAAGGCCUUCGGGUCGUAAAGCCCUGUUGAUAGGGACGAAGGGCGAAGGGUUAAUAGCCCCUAGCCUGACGGUACCUUUCGAGGAAGCCCCGGCUAACUACGUGCCAGCCGCCGCGGUAAUAC
rnacentral:rRNA from 1 species